UGCGAUGCUCGACUGGCGGAAUGUCAGAUCGUCAGUUUCCUUUUCAGUUGCGCUUCGAGUCGACCCAGGGUGUUGGGAGCUCCGGACAGGAAAGCGAUGUCGUCCAGAGCAGAUCCUGAACGUGUCAUUAAAAACGGAAAACGUUGGGAACACUUUGCGGGUCAGGCAGCAUCGGUGAGGAAGAAACCAGGACAACCGUUAGAAUUCAAGGAGAUUUCAUCAGAUGGCUUUUGACCCGCUGACUCUCAAGCAUUUGUUUGUUUUGGAUUUCCUGCAUCUGUAGCUUAUGCGCUGCGGCAUAUUAAUAGAUGCCUUCCAUAGGCACCAUAAUAAGUAAACGUGAUGGCAUAUGUUGCUUGCGUAAUGUGAAUUACUGUAUUUUUUUAAACAUUUCUAUUAUUUCUUCCUAUCUAUAAAAUACUUUGAUAUCCA